rnacentral:rRNA from 1 species
AGCGAACGCUGGCGGCAGGCCUAAAACAUGCAAGUCGAACGCCGUAGCAAUACGGAGUGGCAGACGGGUGAGUAACACGUGGGAACAUACCCUUUGGUUCGGAACAACACAGGGAAACUUGUGCUAAUACCGGAUAAGCCCUUACGGGGAAAGAUUUAUCGCCAAAGGAUUGGCCCGCGUCUGAUUAGCUAGUUGGUGGCGUAACGGCCCACCAAGGCUACGAUCAGUAGCUGGUCUGAGAGGAUGAUCAGCCACACUGGGACUGAGACACGGCCCAGACUCCGUACGGGAGGCAGCAGUUAGGAAUCUUGGACAAUGGGCGCAAGCCUGAUCCAGCCAU